GUGCUCACUUCAGCAGCACAUGUAUUAAAAUUGGAAAGACGCAGAGAAGAUUAGAAUGGCCUUGCUAAAGGAUGACAUACAAAUCUGUGAGGCAUUCUAUAUUUUU